rnacentral:rRNA from 1 species
CUACGGGCUGCUCCAGUGGGGAAUAUUGGACAAUGGGGGAAACCCUGAUCCAGCAAUGCCGCGUGUGUGAAGAAGGCCUGCGGGUUGUAAAGCACUUUCGGUUGGGAGGACUGCUUCUAGCACUAAUAUUGUUGGAAGUUGACGUUACCUUCAGAAGAAGCACCGGCUAACUCCGUGCCAGGAGCCGCGGUAAUACGGGAGGGUGCAAGCGUGAAUCGGAAUUACUGGGCGUAAAGCGCGCGUAGGCGGCUAGAUCAGUCGGGUGUGAAAGCCCCGGGCUUAACCUGGGAACUGCAUCCGAUACUGUCUAGCUUGAGUACAGGAGAGGAGAGUGGAAUUCCACAUGUAGCGGUGAAAUGCGUAGAUAUGUGGAGGAACACCAAUGGCGAAGGCAGCUCUCUGGCCUGAUACUGACGCUGAGGUGCGAAAGCGUGGGGAGCAAACAGGAUUAGAUACCCGAGUAGUC